rnacentral:rRNA from 1 species
ACGGAAGGCAGCAGUGGGGAAUAUUGCACAAUGGGGGAAACCCUGAUGCAGCAACGCCGCGUGAGUGAUGAAGUAUUUCGGUAUGUAAAACUCUAUCAGCAGGGAAGAAGAUGACGGUACCUGACUAAGAAGCACCGGCUAAAUACGUGCCAGCAGCCGCGGUAAUACGUAUGGUGCAAGCGUUAUCCGGAUUUACUGGGUGUAAAGGGAGCGCAGGCGGUUCUGCAAGCCAGAGGUGAAAACCCGGGGCUCAACCCCGUGAUUGCCUUUGGAACUGUAGGACUUGAGUACUGGAGGGGCAGGCGGAAUUCCCAGUGUAGCGGUGAAAUGCGUAGAGAUUGGGAGGAACACCAGUGGCGAAGGCGACUUACUGGACUGUAACUGACGCUGAGGCGCGAAAGUGUGGGGAGCAAACAGGAUUAGAUACCCUGGUA